GGCCCCGUAGCUCAGCUGGAUAGAGCGUCCCCUCCUAAGGGAAGGUCGCCCGUUCGAAUCGGGCCGGGGUCACCA
rnacentral:tRNA from 1 species